UGCGUAGGCAGCAAGCGUUGUUCGGAGUUACUGGGCGUAAAGGGUGCGUAGGCGGUUCUAUAAGUAUGGUGUGAAAUCUCCCGGCUUAACUGGGAGGGUGCGCCGGAAACUGGAGGACUGGAGUGCCGGAGAGGAUAGCGGAAUUCCUGGUGUAGCGGUGAAAUGCGUAGAUAUCAGGAGGAACACCUGCGGUGUAGACGGCUAUCUGGGCUGCAACUGACGCUGAGGCGCGAAGGCUAGGGUAGCAAACAGG
rnacentral:rRNA from 1 species